rnacentral:rRNA from 1 species
GACGAACGCUGGCGGCGUGCUUAACACAUGCAAGUCGAACGGUAAGGCCCUUCGGGGUACACGAGUGGCGAACGGGUGAGUAACACGUGGGUGAUCUGCCCUGCACUUCGGGAUAAGCCUGGAAACUGGGUCUAAUACCGGAUAGGACCCUGGGAUGCAUGUCCUGGGGUGGAAAGCUUUUGCGGUGUGGGAUGGGCCCGCGGCCUAUCAGCUUGUUGGUGGGGUGAUGGCCUACCAAGGCGAGGACGGGUAGCCGGACUGAGAGGGUUACCGGCCACACUGGGACUGGGACGCCGCCCAGACUCCUACGGGAGGCAGCCGUGGGGAAUAUUGCACAAUGGGCGCAAGCCUGAUGCAGCAACGCCGCGUGCGGGAUGACGGCCUUCGGGUUGUAAACCUCUUUCAGCAGGGACGAAGCGAAAGUGACGGUACCUGCAGAAGAAGCACCGGCUAACUAUGUGCCAGCAGCCGCAGUAA